GCUCGCGUAGCUUAAAUUCAAAGCUUAAUACUGAAGAUGUUAGAAUGGACCCUAGAAAGUCCCGCAAGCA
rnacentral:tRNA from 1 species